rnacentral:rRNA from 1 species
AGUGAACGUUGGCGGCGUGGAUUAGGCAUGCAAGUCGAGCGAGAACCGUAGCAAUACGGGGACAGCGGCGAAAGGGACAGUAAUGUGUAGGUACCUACCCCCGGGUUCGGGAUAGCUACGGGAAACUGCAGGUAAUACCGAAUAAUGUCUCCGGACCAAAGGUGUGAUUCCACCUGGGGAGGGGCCUGCAUCCUAUUAGCUUGUCGGUGGGGUAACAGCCUACCAAGGCGACGAUGGGUAGCGGGUGUGAGAGCAUGACCCGCGUCAUUGGGACUGAGACACUGCCCAGACACCUACGGGUGGCUGCAGUCGAGAAUCUUCGGCAAUGGGCGCAAGCCUGACCGAGCGACGCCGCGUGCGGGAUGAAGGCCUUCGGGUUGUAAACCGCUGUCGUAGGGGAGGAAAUGCAGGAGGGUUCUCCCUCUUGUUUGACCUAUCCUAGGAGGAAGUACGGGCUAAGUUCGUGCCAGCAGCCGCCGUAA